AAUUGCAGAAUUCAGUGAAUCAUCGAAUCUUUGAACGCACAUUGCGCCCCUUGGUAUUCCGAGGGGCAUGCCUGUUCGAGCGUCAUUAAACCCCUCAAGCUUUGCUUGGUAUUGGGCGCUCGCUCCCCGUUUUUAGGGGGGCUUGCCCGAAA
rnacentral:rRNA from 2 species